CCGUUCCUGUUCCCAUUCGCGUCCCAGCGCGACAACAGUCAAGUGACAAGCACUCUCCCGAAUUCUGCUCGGAUACUAAUUGUCGCGCGAACGGAACUGCCCGCAAUCGCUCGUCUUGGCGAAUUUAAGUACAACUUUGCGGAUAAUGAGAGAAAAUAAACUUAAGUGUCAUCGAGCUUCUUCAAGAUUGUCUUGCAAAGAGAAGUUACAUUGAUUUAUUUAAGGAACAGAGAUGAAUUUUCCUUUGCUACAAUAUUCUGGAUAUUAUAACCGUUAACGAGAUCGUCAUGAUUACCACAGCAGAAGUACGAGAGGUUCAAUAUCAAGCUGAUGCUAUAAGCCGGUGCACCGUGAUAUGUGAAAUGGAACUUUCAAACAUUUCCGGUGCUGUCACUUUUCAUUUGCUAAUUAACCGAUGGGUCAUUUAAACACGCGCAUAAACAUAGAAAUUGAUGACAUACGCGGAUAUAAAUUGUCAUUUCAUGAUGGAUUUUCUCAA